ACUCCUACGGGAGGCAGCAGUGGGAAUCUUGGACAAUGGGGCAACCCGUAGCAUCCAGCCAUGCCGCGUGAGUGAUGAAGGCCCUAGGGUCGUAAAGCUCUUUCGCCAGGGAUGAUAAUGACAGUACCUGGUAAAGAAACCCGCGUAAUCCGUGCCAGCAGCCGCGGUAAUACGGAGGGGGUUAGCGUUGUUCGGAAUUACUGGGCGUAAAGCGCGCGUAGGCGGACUAUUAAGUCA
rnacentral:rRNA from 1 species